rnacentral:rRNA from 1 species
UGCGGGGGGGGCGAGCGUUAUUCGGAAUGAUUGGGCGUAAAGAGCACGUAGGCGGUCAGAUGGCAGAUUGGAAAGAAAGCCCAUGGCUUAACCUUGGAAAUUUUUUAAUCUGGUAUGGAAAUUUUUUUUUCCAAACUAACGAACCCUUCCUUCCAGGAAGGGGGAAAGCCCCUGACUUGAGUCAGUGUGAGGAGAGUGGAAUUCCUGGAGGAGAGGUAGAAUUCUGUGAUACCAGGAGGAACGCCGGAAGCGAAGGCUUCUCUCUACCACUGGACUGACGUUGAGGUGCGAAAGCGUGGGGAUCAAAAAGG